rnacentral:tRNA from 1 species
GUGGGCGUAGCGUAGCUUGGUUAACGCGUCAGAUUGUGGCUCUGAAGAUCGUGGGUUCGAAUCCCACCUCCCACCCCA